UCCUCCCACCACUGGCGACCUCGUCCCCUCCCCCUCGCUGUAGAUCGAGCAGCAGGUCCAGAUCCCGGCCACGGCGACGCGAGCACACCAAUGCAGGGUCAAGACGUGUGAGGAGCUCGCUCGCUGCGACCUGAUGCCAAAGGAAUGGACAAGGUGAACAUCUCUGUUCGUGACGCAACCCCAACCCUACCCUUUCCUUAGCGAGCGACGGUGUGAUGCACCUCUGGGAUCCACAUGUCCCUGUCCAUGCCGAUCGUUCGCGCCGGCGGCCGCUGCCGCAACAGCCGCUGCCCUGCCGCCGCGCCGUGCCUCCCUUGCAGUCUCCCACCGCAGCCUCCUCGUGCCUCGCCUCGUCGCCACACGCACCAUCCGCGCCUCCUCGUGCCUCGCCUCGUCGCCACACGCACCAUCCGCGCCUCCCCGGAAUGAAUAGGUCGACAAGUGCGAGCGCGUCAACACUGUCGGCGAUGACGAUGGUUGGUCGACUAGCAAACAAAAUGGUUACUAUUAUGACUGUAAUGCAUUGGUGUUAUCGCUGACACCUUCAGCUACUAUGGGAUCCGCCUCGCCCAGGUAUGCCCAUGUCCAUUGCCCUUAUCUGGAUCCACAGCCCCUCUUUGUUUCUGAUUAUUGUUUGUUCUUAUAUACUCUCAAAUUUCCAUGAGUGCGAUAAGAUGAACGAGUAUCCCGUGUCUGCGGCAACUCGCAUAGCCUGAUCCGGAAGUACGUGUGUGCUGCAGGCAUUGCUUCCGCAGCAACGCCAAGGACAUUGGCUUUAUCAAGAUCAUAGCACGAAUCUCAGCGGAGCUGAACGGGCAGAUAAGGGGGAGUCUGGACUCCCGGGUGCCAUAGCACCUUUUCGUUUGCACACUUGUUUAACAGUACCAUUAAGAAUGGAAACCUCAAAGGAAGCAAGGACUAGGAAAUUAUCAUCAAACUGUGGUGUUUCAUCGAGGACGACCUUUAUCAACAAUGAAGUAAUUGUGCCUGGAAUUUGCUUUGAAAUUUUCAAUGCUUUGGACCUAACUCAAGUUAUAAUUUUGUAGUUAAACCACAUGAUAUUGUUUUCCAAUCGCAUGUUUUUCCUACACAAACCAUAUGAAUUUAAUGAGCUUGCUUCACUACUAUAUGCAAAGGUAUCAUCUAAAAGGAAUUAUGGGUUUCAGAUAUGCUCCAGUUUUAUUGCAUUUCAUUAUAUACAUGCCAGGCGGCUGCACCCACAUAAGGGACAAAACUUGUUUUUGGCUCACGCCUAGCUGUCCAUUGUGUGGAUCAUGCACCAAUUCCAUCUGCCAAAUCAUAUUUCUGGGGUUUCCCCUCUUGCUUACAUUUCCAUUUGUAUACUUUAUGGAUUAUUCAAUCUUAUUUGUUUAGUAUAUAUAACCUGGAUGUCCCAUGCUUGGUAGGAGAUACAUAAUAAGGGAAUUGAGGCAAAGCAGUUGAAAUUUAAGAACGUCAUGUGCUCCUAUUACUUUGAUCAAUCUGCAGUACUGUUUAGCCUAUGAGCCAAUACGGGUGACCAGCGUGAGAAGAUGGGGCAAGGAUGAGGCCCCUUCGUUUGGCCAUGGUAAGAUCCAUGCGUGGACCUCAGCCACCCGAACGACGAAGCCGUCGUCGACCAGAUCGCGAGUUGUACUCGGUGGAAGGCAACGGAAGACUUCCCUUUUCGAUCAAGGCCAAGCACGCAUGUCUAAUCCAUGGUUGGAUCACAUACCUCUUUCUUUUUUCAUGGAUGCUCUAAUUUUCAGAUUAUGCCAGCAUUUUUUUAGACAUUGAAUUAAAUGACUAUGCAUGUGUUGUUGCACAAACUGACUCACAUCAAUGUUUACAUUCAAUAUGGUUCUGUCAGUAAUUCUAUAUGCCUGCUCCUUUUUUUAAAAGUAGGUUGUUCAACUGUCGUUUAAUAGUCUUUAUAUAAUGGUGGUACGACGACAAGGAUAUGCUGAUGUAUUUGAGCUUCUUUGCCAUAGUUCAAAGUGUGUAGUCCGGGCUAUGCUUUAUAUAUGUUCUUUUUGGCGUUGACAAUCCAACAGAAAGUGUGCCCUAAAUUAUAGAUCAGUCCAUUCAUCUCGCCUCUUUUUUUAGGUGGCAGGGUCAGAUGGAUUUUCGUGAGCUUCGCCAUGGUUUUCUCUUCUGUUACUUGGUGCAGGGCCUGAUGGAAUUAUGCUGAACUGUAAUAUUUUGGUAGUACAGAACAGUUCAUUUAUUAUAGUUGUUCGUUGUAGUUUUAGAACCGUGGCAUUCGAUUAUCUUGUUAUAUUCAUUUUCCCCUCUGGUGGCGUGUGUGGUCGAUGCUUCAGGUUUGCAUCUCCUCCCGCAUCCCUCGAAUCCUUUCUGUAUUUUCCCUCCCGCCAAGGAAAGGGAGAUAGAAGCAUCUACUCGAAUUAGUGGUCAAAUCAUCCUAAAGAAUCAUGGUUAGCUACAUCUAACUAUGUGAUUGCAUUUGGAGCUAGAAUGAAGUUAGGUUCGUCUCUUCCCUGGAAACUAAUCAGCUAUGUCAUCUCCAUGAUUU